rnacentral:tRNA from 3 species
UCCCCUGUAGCUCAAUUGGCAGAGCAUCUGACUGUUAAUCAGAGGGUUACUGGUUCGAGUCCAGUCGGGGGAGCUU